rnacentral:lncRNA from 1 species
CAAAAAUGGCCAAGGCCAUCAACGACGACAUAAGUUCGACCUCGUUCGAAUAACGACGGGAUCCUAAUUUGACAAUAGUUCAAAGCAACAUCCCAAUGGCCAAGGCCAUCGACGGUGACAUGAGUUCGGCCUCGUUUGAAAUACGACGGGAUUCUACUUCGACGACAGUUCAAAGCAACAUCCUAAUGGCCAAGGCCAUCGACGAAGACAUGAGUUUGACCUCGUUCCAACUACGACGGAAUUCCACUACAAAAACAGUUCGAAGCAACAUCCCAACGGACAAGGCCAUCAACGACAACAUGAGUUCGACCUUGUUCGAACUACGAUGGGAUUCUACUUCGACGAUAGUUUGAAGCAACAUCCUAAUGGCCAAGGCCAUCGACGACGACAUGAUUCGACCUCGUUCGAACUAAGACGGGAUUCUACUUCGAUGAUUGUUCGAAGCAACAUCAUAAU